CGGGUGAGUAACGCGUGAGAAUCUGUCUUCAGGUCGGGGACAACCGUUGGAAACGACUGCUAAUACCGAAUGUGCCGAGAGGUGAAAGAUUUACCGCCUGAGGAAGAGCUCGCGUCCGAUUAGUCAGUUGGUGAGGUAAGAGCUCACCAAGGCAGCGAUCGGUAGCUGGUCUGAGAGGAUGAGCAGCCACACUGGGACUGAGACACGGCCCAGACUCCUACGGGAGGCAGCAGUGGGGAAUUUUCCGCAAUGGGCGAAAGCCUGACGGAGCAAUGCCGCGUGUGGGAAGAAGGCUCUUGGGUUGUCAACCUCUUUUCUCAGGGAAGAAGACCUGACGGUACCUGAGGAAUCAGCCUCGGCUAACUCCGUGCCAGCAGCCGCGGUAAUACGGAGGAGGCAAGCGUUAUCCGGAAUUAUUGGGCGUAAAGCGUCCGCAGGUGGCGCAUCAAGUCUGCUGUUAAAGGCUGGAGCUUAACUCCGGUAGAGCAGUGGAAACUGGAAAGCUAGAGUGCGACAGGGGUAGAGGGAAUUCCCAGUGUAGCGGUGAAAUGCGUAGAGAUUGGGAAGAACACCGGUGGCGAAAGCGCUCUACUGGGUCGCACCUGACACUGAGGGACGAAAGCUAGGGGAGCGAAUGGGAUUAGAUA
rnacentral:rRNA from 1 species